rnacentral:rRNA from 1 species
AUGAACGCUGGCGGCGUGCCUAAUACAUGCAAGUCGCGCGAACAGACGAGGAGCUUGCUCCUCUGACGUUAGCGGCGGACGGGUGAGUAACACGUGGAUAACCUACCUAUAAGACUGGGAUAACUUCGGGAAACCGGAGCUAAUACCGGAUAAUAUAUUGAACCGCAUGGUUCAAUAGUGAAAGACGGUUUUGCUGUCACUUAUAGAUGGAUCCGCGCCGCAUUAGCUAAUUGGUAAGGUAACGGCUUACCAAGGCAACGAUGCGUAGCCGACCUGAGAGGGUGAUCGGCCACACUGGAACUGAGACACGGUCCAGACUCCUACGGGAGGCAGCAGUAGGGAAUCUUCCGCAAUGGGCGAAAGCCUGACGGAGCAACGCCGCGUGAGUGAUGAAGGUCUUCGGAUCGUAAAACUCUGUUAUUAGGGAAGAACAAAUGUGUAAGUAACUAUGCACGUCUUGACGGUACCUAAUCAGAAAGCCACGGCUAACUACGUG